AGUUCACCAUGUCAUUGGCAGCUGUGGAUACAGUUAAUGCCACGCCCCUGUCGGGGUCCAAAGAACUGAGUUUAGAGGAACCAAAGAAGAUGACCCGAGAGGACUGGAGGAAGAAGAAGGAGCUAGAAGAACAGCGGAAGCUGGGUAAUGCUCCUGCAGAAGCGGAUGAAGAAGGAAAAGAUAUCAAUCCACACAUCCCUCAGUAUAUUUCUUCAGUACCAUGGUACAUCGAUCCAUGGAAAAGACCCACCUUAAAGCACCAGAGGCCACAAUCUGAGAAACAGAAGCCGUUCAGUUCAUCUGGAGAAUGGUACAAGAGGGGCGUAAAAGAGAAUUCCAUAACCACUAAGUACCGCAAAGGUGCCUGCGAGAAUUGCGGGGCCAUGACGCACAAGAAGGAGGACUGCUUUGAGAGACCCAGACGAGUUGGGGCCAAGUUUACUGGGACUAACAUAGCGCCAGAUGAGCACGUCCAGCCUCAGCUCACAUUUGACUACGACGGGAAGAGAGAUCGCUGGAAUGGCUACAAUCCAGAACAACACAUGAAAAUCGUGGAAGAGUAUGCCAAAGUUGACCUGUCAAAACGAACGCUGAAAGCCCAGAAAUUACAAGAAGAAUUAGCCUCAGGAAAAUUAGUGGAACAGGCUAAUUCUCCAAAACAUCAGUGGGGAGAAGAGGAACCAAAUUCUCAGAUGAAAAAAGAUCACAACAGUGAAGAUGAGGAUGAAGAUAAAUAUGCAGAUGAUAUUGACCUGCCUGGACAGAAUUUUGACUCUAAGAGGCGAAUUACAGUCCGGAACCUAAGGAUUCGAGAAGAUAUUGCAAAAUAUUUGAGAAAUUUAGAUCCAAAUUCUGCCUACUAUGAUCCCAAAACUAGAGCGAUGAGAGAAAAUCCCUACGCCAAUGCAGGGAAGAAUCCAGAUGAAGUGAGUUAUGCAGGCGAUAACUUCGUCAGAUACACAGGAGAUACCAUUUCCAUGGCUCAGACACAGUUGUUUGCCUGGGAGGCGUUUGACAAGGGCUCGGAGGUGCACUUGCAGGCAGAUCCCACGAAGCUGGAGCUGUUGUAUAAAUCCUUCAAAGUCAAGAAGGAAGACUUCAAAGUGCAGCAGAAAGAAAGCAUCCUGGAAAAGUAUGGUGGCCAAGAGCAUCUGGAUGCUCCUCCAGCUGAGUUGCUCUUAGCCCAGACAGAAGACUACGUGGAGUACUCACAGCAUGGGGCCGUCAUCAAGGGGCAGGAGAGGGCCGUGGCCUGCUCCAAGUAUGAAGAUGACGUGAAGAUCCACAACCACACACACAUCUGGGGAUCUUACUGGAAAGAAGGCCGAUGGGGAUACAAAUGUUGUCACUCGUUCUUCAAGUAUUCCUACUGCACUGGAGAAGCUGUUAAGGAGACUGCUAACGCCAAGGAGUGUGUGAUAAGUGAUGAGACUGGCGAAGAGUCGGUGAAGAAACCACAGACGCUCGUGGAGAUGCACCAAGAAAAACUAAAGGAAGAGAAGAAAAAGAAGCAGCACCGGAAGAGUAGCUCUGACAGCGAUGACGAAGAGAAGAAACAGGAGAAACUGAAGAAGGCACUGAAUGCCGAGGAGGCCCGCCUGCUCCAUGUCAAAGAGAUCUUACAAAUUGACAAGAGAAAGCGGCCAUACAACAGUGUAUAUGAAACUCGAGAGCCCACGGAGGAGGAAAUGGAGACCUACAGAAUGAAACGUCAGAGGCCAGAUGACCCCAUGGCCUGUUUCCUGGGCCAGCAGUAA